UACGUAGGGUGCGAGCGUUAAUCGGAAUUACUGGGCGUAAAGCGUGCGCAGGCGGUUUUGUAAGCCAGAUGUGAAAUCCCCGGGCUUAACCUGGGAAUGGCAUUUGGGACUGCAAGGCUGGAGUGUGGCAGAGGAGACUGGAAUUCCUGGUGUAGCAGUGAAAUGCGUAGAUAUCAGGAGGAAUACCGAUGGCGAAGGCAGCCCCCUGGGUCAAAACUGACGCUCAUGCACGAAAGCGUGGGGAGCAAACAGG
rnacentral:rRNA from 1 species